rnacentral:piRNA from 1 species
UCUUAGAUGAUGGAGAGACAGCCAA